GACGAACGCUGGCGGCGUGCUUAACACAUGCAAGUCGAACGGAAAGGCCCUGCUUUUGUGGGGUGCUCGAGUGGCGAACGGGUGAGUAACACGUGAGUAACCUGCCCUUGACUUUGGGAUAACUUCAGGAAACUGGGGCUAAUACCGGAUAGGAGCUCCUGCUGCAUGGUGGGGGUUGGAAAGUUUCGGCGGUUGGGGAUGGACUCGCGGCUUAUCAGCUUGUUGGUGGGGUAGUGGCUUACCAAGGCUUUGACGGGUAGCCGGCCUGGGAGGGUGACCGGCCACAUUGGGACUGAGAUAGGGACCAGACUCCUACGGGAGGCAGCAGUGGGGAAUAUUGCACAAUGGGCGGAAGCCUGAUGCAGCAACGCCGCGUGCGGGAUGACGGCCUUCGGGUUGUAAACCGCUUUCGCCUGUGACGAAGCGUGAGUGACGGUAAUGGGUAAAGAAGCACCGGCUAACUACGUG
rnacentral:rRNA from 1 species